rnacentral:lncRNA from 1 species
AGUGUGUGUGACCCCAUAGGUUCUACUCUGACUGGUAGUGAGAUAUAUUAUGAUCUCUAUCACAAUAUCAUUGAAAACUCCUUUCAAUGGAUUGGAACGAUUCCAACUCUACUCAUUAGGGUUUAUCGAUCAUCGAGAUAAUCCCUGUGAGUCCCACCAUCCACCAGUGACACCUAGCAGCAUGUAGUGGCUACCCAGCAGAAUAGAAUGAUGAACCUCUAGGUGCAGUUAUCGUGUGAUAUAGUCCUACUAUCGUGGAUCCCUACAGGACGGAGGUCAUGGAUAACUCGUCAAACCCCUUCGUCUGUCAUAUGUCAAGAUUUAUUCGACUCGAGUUCGUUAGUGGAAAACUCUUUCUCCACUUUAUAUUACUGCCCUGGCCAAGGUCUUAGAACUCAGUCUAACAAAUCACAUAGAAUCACUCAUCUUCUAUCAAGGUCGAUAGAUUCCAUGUGAGUGCAUACCCUACUCCUACAGUGAACUUACUGCAGCCAAUCUACACUACAAGGACUCAUAUGACUAGAGACCAUGUAUACGUGUAGUCAAACUACAAUAACCUCACUGUGAGUAGCUGAAGCA